UACGGGGGGAGCAAGCGUUGCUCGGAUUUACUGGGCGUAAAGGGCGCGUAGGCGGUCACGCACGUCCGUUGUGAAAUCGCUCGGCUCAACUGGGCGGGGUCAGCGGAUACGGCGUGGCUGGAGCAAGCUAGGGGGCAAUGGAAUUCCCGGUGUAGUGGUGGAAUGCGUAGAUAUCGGGAGGAACACCAGUGGCGAAGGCGGUUGCCUGGAGCUUUGCUGACGCUGAUGCGCGAAAGCGUGGGGAGCGAUCCGG
rnacentral:rRNA from 1 species